rnacentral:lncRNA from 1 species
GCGCAGACGGGCGGGGCUUCGGCCGCGGGUUCUCGGUCUUUCUGCCGCCCCAGGCUGGGUGCGGGAGGGCGUCGCCGGUACCGCCCCUCUUCCUGUCACCCUAGGGCGGCCUCUGGGCGACCGCGGUGUUGAUUCAGGGUCCUUGAUGUUGGAGGACACUGGCCGGGUGGGUCCCUUACGUCACGUCACAAGGCAGCCUGGGGGAGUCUGCGCUGCCGCCCUCCCUAGCAUGUGCUGGCUAGGAUGGUAGCCUACCUUUUGUAAGCCAAGCGCUACCUCCUAAGUGAGUCUACGCCCCACAAGUUGGAACAGGAACCAAUGCCCCUAUUAAGGAGGAAGAAACGCACUUUGGAAACGCUAAAUAUUUCCAGUAGCCCAAGAAGAACGGGUGAUGAAGCUGCAGCUGGCAUAGACACAAAGCAGGUGAGAUCUGACAACAGUGAGACUCCAUCCAGCCUUGCAGAAAACAUCUUGCUGAGCUGCACUUCAGUGUGUUACUCUGAGCUUUUGACUAGAACGGCCACUAGCAGCCUGCAGCCUGUGAGUUCAAUUUGAGAGAUAAGUAUUUUUCACGUGUCUUUAAGAACUCCAACGGAAAGAAAGACUAUUUAAUAUAGACAGACCAUCUGUGCCCCUAAAAAGCUUCAAUUAUUUGGCAUCUACUGCUAUACAGAAAAGUGUUUUGUAUGCUUUAUCUAUAAGCAAUAAUAUCCAUAUAAAAACAGCAGCAAAUGAUUAAAAAGCCACAAGGAGUUACCUUUGUGCUGCAGUUGAAGACCUGCACUGCUGCAUCCUGAGGUGUCCUGGAGAACAUCUGGAGGGUCUGUGGGAGAUUUUAUUUUUUGAGGGCAGCACUGCCAUCUGUUGUAAUGUGUUUGAAACUACAGCUGUUAAGUUUGCAUCUACCUAAAUAUGGGCAAGUUUGAAACUCUCCUGAGACACUGACAAGGUUAGGCAGACACUAGGGCCUGACAACUUUCACUUUUUAGUUUCAGUUCUCCAGACUCAGCUCAAGACCUCUCCUGUCAGAACCAUCAAAAGAGGAAGCAGGGAUUGAUGAUCAUAUUUAAGAAGGUGUUCUGAUUAACUAAUGACAAGCCAUCUUGAGCAACUAUUUUUAAAAUGUAUAAGUUUUCCUUUCCAAUAACUAUGCUGGUGAACUGACACUGUUUCCAUUUUUAACCACAUCUCCAAUAUCAGAACAGUUCUGAUGUUUGUUCUCCCUCUAAGACAGAAAGCGUGAGGGUCCAUUGCUGUUGUUCUCAAAAUUUCUCAAUGUACCCCAAGAUUUCCCCUCUCGUUCUGACAGAGCUAAGGAGAAGGUCAGUGUGCCUGCUGGAUACUGGUAGGUUAAAAAGAUCAUAAUGCAAGAAGACUCUCACCCUUCAGUUUCUCUGAAUCUUGUUCUAUAUUUUCUCUCCAGGAAACCUGCUCCAAAUUCUGGUGCAGAUCUCAGUAAAAAGGUUUUUAUUAACAGGCUGAAGUGUUUCAAUUCACUGGAAUUGGCACACUACACAUUGGAGCCAAACUACCAUGGUUCAACCUCUGCCCUGAAGCCCUCCACCACAGCUGACGACAUCUGCACCAUACUCUUGAACUUCCAAGGCUAUGAAGUACUUGAAACUCUUGUGUUUAUAAAUUACCUAUUUUAAGCUGGGUGGUGGUAGUAGCACAUGCCACUUUAAUCUCAGCACU